GGGGUGCUCGAGUGGCGAACGGGUGAGUAACACGUGAGUAACCUGCCCUUGACUUUGGGAUAACUUCAGGAAACUGGGGCUAAUACCGGAUAGGAGCUCCUGCUGCAUGGUGGGGUUUGGAAAGUUUCGGCGGUUGGGGAUGGACUCGCGGCUUAUCAGCUUGUUGGUGGGGUAGUGGCUUACCAAGGCUUUGACGGGUAGCCGGCCUGAGAGGGUGACCGGCCACAUUGGGACUGAGAUACGGCCCAG
rnacentral:rRNA from 1 species